rnacentral:rRNA from 1 species
UUUUUCCUACGGGGGGCAGCAGUGGGGAAUAUUGCACAAUGGGCGCAAGCCUGAUGCAGCGACGCCGCGUGCGGGAUGGAGGCUUUCGGGUUGUAAACCGCUUUUGUUCAAGGGCAAGGCACGGUCUUUGGCCGUGUUGAGUGGAUUGUUCGUAUAAGCACCGGCUAACUACGUGCCAGCAGCCGCGGUAAUACGUCGGAUGCAAGCGUCAUCCGGAUUUAUUGGGCGUAAAGGGCUCGUAGGAGGUUCGUCGCGUCCGGUGUGAUAGUCCAUCGCUUAACGGUGGAU